AUUGAACGCUGGCGGCAGGCUUAACACAUGCAAGUCGAGCGAGCGGCGGACGUGUGAGUAAUGUCUGGGAAACUGCCUGAUGGAGGGGGAUAACUACUGGAACCGGUAGCUGAUACCGCAUACCCUCAGAUGUGCCCAGUUGGGAUUGGCUAGUAGGUGGGGUAAUGGCUCACCUAGGCGACGAUCCCUAGCUGGUCUGAGAGGAUGACCAGUCACACUGGAACUGAGACACGGUCCAGACUCCGACGGGAGGCAGCAGUGGGGAAUAUUGCACAAUGGGCGAAAGCCUGAUGCAGCCAUGCCGCGUGUGUGAAGAAGGCCUUCGGGUUGUAAAGCACUUUAAGUGAGGAGGCGUUACUAGCAGAAGAAGCACCGGCUAACUCCGUGCCAGCCGCCGCGGUAAUUC
rnacentral:rRNA from 1 species